GACGAACGCUGGCGGCAGGCCUAACACAUGCAAGUCGAGCGGACCUUUCGGGGUCAGCGGCGGACGGGUGAGUAACGCGUGGGAAUAUGCCCUUCUCUACGGAAUAGUCCUGGGAAACUGGGGGUAAUACCGUAUACGCCCUUUGGGGGAAAGAUUUAUCGGGGAAGGAUUAGCCCGCGUUGGAUUACGUAGUUGGUGGGGUAAUGGCCUACCAAGCCGACGAUCCAUAGCUGGUUUGAGAGGAUGAUCAGCCACACUGGGACUGAGACACGGCCCAGACUCCUACGGGAGGCAGCAGUGGGGAAUCUUAGACAAUGGGGGCAACCCUGAUCUAGCCAUGCCGCGUGAGUGAUGAAGGCCUUAGGGUUGUAAAGCUCUUUCAGCUGGGAAGAUAAUGACGGUACCAGCAGAAGAAGCCCCGGCUAACUCCGUG
rnacentral:rRNA from 1 species